ACAAAAGAAAAAGUCUAUAAGAACGAAGAUACUACCUUCAAAAUGAAGAACACUCUUGACAAAUUAAUCAUUACCCUCCAGCGAUGUCUUCAACAAGAUACCACAAAAAAAAUAUAUAUCCAGGAAUACUCCACGGAUAACAAAAUAUAUUCCAUUCAUCGAUGAGGAGCCGAUACACAAAGCAAGCAACCGCCAUCUUGACACACUUUUGUCACGUGACGAACCGCACGUUCCUCAACCGGAAAUAGAGCAUUCUGCGCGCACAGGGUCUUUGAUGUGCACGAGCUGAUCGCGCAAUCGCACCAUCCGUUAUCACGCAUACAUUUCUCACGUAAUAUUGUAACGGUUCACCACAACUCACCGCAGCCGCAUAUAGACAGACAUUUACAGUCAAAGCGAGAAAUCAACCAAAAAGACAAGAAACAAAUAAAAAAAGAAGAAAUCAUAAAAAUAAAGAAGAAGAAGAAGA